AGCUUUGCGCAGUGGCGAUAUCGUAACCAAUGAGGUACAACCGAGGUGCGAUUAUUGCUAGUUGAAAACUAAUACCAAUAAUACCAAGUCCGGGCCGGAAUUAGCUUGACGUUUUUCAGAGUGAUUGCAUAACC